UACGUAGGGUGCAAGCGUUAAUCGGAAUUACUGGGCGUAAAGCGUGCGCAGGCGGUUGUGCAAGACAGAUGUGAAAUCCCCGGGCUUAACCUGGGAAUUGCAUUUGUGACUGCACGGCUAGAGUGUGUCAGAGGGGGGUAGAAUUCCACGUGUGAGCAGUGAAAUGCGUAGAUAUGCGGAGGAACACCGAUGGCGAAGGCAAUCCCCUGGACCUGUACUGACGCUCAUGCACGAAAGCGUGGGGAGCAAACGAGGAU
rnacentral:rRNA from 1 species